rnacentral:rRNA from 1 species
GAUGAACGCUGGCGGCGUGCCUAAUACAUGCAAGUCGAGCGAACGGACGAGAAGCUUGCUUCUCUGAUGUUAGCGGCGGACGGGUGAGUAACACGUGGAUAACCUACCUAUAAGACUGGGAUAACUUCGGGAAACCGGAGCUAAUACCGGAUAAUAUUUUGAACCGCAUGGUUCAAAAGUGAAAGACGGUCUUGCUGUCACUUAUAGAUGGAUCCGCGCUGCAUUAGCUAGUUGGUAAGGUAACGGCUUACCAAGGCAACGAUGCAUAGCCGACCUGAGAGGGUGAUCGGCCACACUGGAACUGAGACACGGUCCAGACUCCUACGGGAGGCAGCAGUAGGGAAUCUUCCGCAAUGGGCGAAAGCCUGACGGAGCAACGCCGCGUGAGUGAUGAAGGUCUUCGGAUCGUAAAACUCUGUUAUUAGGGAAGAACAUAUGUGUAAGUAACUGUGCACAUCUUGACGGUACCUAAUCAGAAAGCCACGGCUAACUACGUGCCAGCAGCCGCGGUAAUACGUAGGUGGCAAGCGUUAUCCGGAAUUAUUGGGCGUAAAGCGCGCGUAGGCGGUUUUUUAAGUCUGAUGUGAAAGCCCACGGCUCAACCGUGGAGGGUCAUUGGAAACUGGAAAACUUGAGUGCAGAAGAGGAAAGUGGAAUUCCAUGUGUAGCGGUGAAAUGCGCAGAGAUAUGGAGGAACACCAGUGGCGAAGGCGACUUUCUGGUCUGUAACUGACGCUGACGUGCGAAAGCGUGGGGAUCAAACAGGAUUAGAUACCCUGGUAGUCCACGCCGUAAACGAUGAGUGCUAAGUGUUAGGGGGUUUCCGCCCCUUAGUGCUGCAGCUAACGCAUUAAGCACUCCGCCUGGGGAGUACGACCGCAAGGUUGAAACUCAAAGGAAUUGACGGGGACCCGCACAAGCGGUGGAGCAUGUGGUUUAAUUCGAAGCAACGCGAAGAACCUUACCAAAUCUUGACAUCCUUUGACAACUCUAGAGAUAGAGCUUUCCCCUUCGGGGGACAAAGUGACAGGUGGUGCAUGGUUGUCGUCAGCUCGUGUCGUGAGAUGUUGGGUUAAGUCCCGCAACGAGCGCAACCCUUAAGCUUAGUUGCCAUCAUUAAGUUGGGCACUCUAAGUUGACUGCCGGUGACAAACCGGAGGAAGGUGGGGAUGACGUCAAAUCAUCAUGCCCCUUAUGAUUUGGGCUACACACGUGCUACAAUGGACAAUACAAAGGGCAGCGAAACCGCGAGGUCAAGCAAAUCCCAUAAAGUUGUUCUCAGUUCGGAUUGUAGUCUGCAACUCGACUACAUGAAGCUGGAAUCGCUGGUAAUCGUAGAUCAGCAUGCUACGGUGAAUACGUUCCCGGGUCU